AUACUUAAUUGGCAGAAACAUACCAUGAUCAUGAAGGUUGUUUCCCUAGGGUGAGGCUCAUUGAUUGCACUCCAGAUGUGCUGACCCCUGUGAUUUUUCCACAAAUCUGGAAAAUUUAACUACAUAAUUUGGGAUAGUGGGAGACUGCAUUUGCUCUAUCCUC